GAGAAGAACGUAGCGAAAUGCGAUAAGUAAUGUGAAUUGCAGAAUUCAGUGAAUCAUCGAAUCUUUGAACGCACCUUGCGCCCUUUGGCCAUUCCGAAGGGCAUGCCUGUUUGAGUAUCAUGAACACCUCAACUCUCAUGGCUCGCCAUGAUGAGCUUGGACUUUGGGGGUCUUGCUGGCCUGUGGUCGGCUCCUCUCAAAUGGAUCAGCUUGCCAGUGUUUGGUGGCAUCACAGGUGUGAUAACUAUCUGCGCUUGUGGUUUUCCAUCAGAUAACCUUCAGUGAUGGAGGUUCGCUGGAGCUCAUAAACGUCUCCCCUAAGCGGGGACAGCCCUUUGAAUGUUUGAUCUCAAAUCAGGUAGGACUACCCGCUGAACUUAAGCAUAUCAAUAAGCGGAGGA
rnacentral:misc_RNA from 1 species